UGUGUACGUGUAAAGAGUACAAUCGCUACAGUGGCUACAUCAAGUCAGUUCAGUUGCUGUGGGAGAAGCAGUGCUGUGCCCAGCAGAAAAAUCUUUUGAAGCAGUUCCUAGUCUUGCAGCAGCAAGGGGAGGUUCCGUCCCACAUCUCACUGACGGAUAUUAGAGAGUGGCUCAUUGCCAAGGGUAGAAACUACUUCAAGAACACGUUUCAGAGUGAAAUGGAAGAGGGGAAGAACCUUUACUUGGCCGAACUGGCUUGGGAGGUGAAACGACGCCUCAGGCUUGAGGAGCUGGAAAGAGAAGUGUGCAGGGAGCUGCGCCUGGAGCGCCGAAUUGGACAGCCUGGUAGCCAGAUGGGAGAUUGGAGACCCCUGGGCAUGGAGACACACACACCUCUGGUAAUGGACUCUCCCUUCAGACACUCCACCUCCUCGAUGGACACUCUUUCCAGUCAGAUCUCGACUGAGAACCUCGAGGUUGCUAGGCUACAUACUGCCAGACCACGUUCUGCCAGACCACUAACUGAAAGACCUAGCAGUGACUCUGAUCACUCUGGAACCUUGUCUACUGUGAUGACCUGCUCACCACAUUCAGCUAGCCCGUCAGUGGUAGGUCAUUUUGGUCAUGAACAUGUUCCCAGCUUUCACUCUUUGGGGGCUGUAGACAUAUUACUGCUUCCCUGUCUCCCAUCUCCUUGGAAAUCCAUAUCCAAGUACAGUGGCAAGAAAAAGUAUGUGAACCCUUUGGAAUUACCUGGACUUCUGUGUAAAUUGGUCAUAAAAUGUUAUCUGAUCUUCAUCUAAGUCACAACAAUAGACAAACACAGUCUGCUUAAACUAAUAACACACAAAUAAUUGUACUUUUUCAUGUCUUUAUUGAACACACCAUGUAAACAUUCACAGUGCAGGGUGGAAAAAGUACACUCAGCAAAAAAAUAAACCUCCCUUUUUUAGGACCCUGUCUUUCAAAGAUAAUUCGUAUAAAUCCAAAUAACUUCACAGAUCUUCAUUGUAAAGGGUAUAAACACUGUUUCCCAUGCUUGUUCAAUGAACCAUAAACAAUGAAUGAACAUGCAUCUGUGGAACGGUCGUUAAGACACUAACAGCUUACAGACGAUAGGCAAUUAAGGUCACAGUUAUGAAAACUUAGGAAACUAAAGAGGCCUUUCUACUGACUCUGAGAAACACCAAAAGAAAGAUGUCCAGGGUCCCUGCUCAUCUGUGUGAACGUGCCUUAGGCAUGCUGCAAGAAGGCAUGAGGACUGCGGAUGUAGCCAGGGCAAUAAAUUGCUAUGUCCGUACUGUGAGACGCCUAAGACAGCGCUACAGGGAGACAAGACGGACAGCUGAUUGUCCUCGCAGUGGCACCUCGUGUAACAACACCUGCACAGGAUCGGUACAUCCAAACAUCACACCUGCGGGACAGGUACAGGAUGGCAACAACAACUGCCCGAGUUACACCAGGAACGCACAAUCCCUCCAUCAGUGCUCAGACUGUCCGCAAUAGGCUGAGAGAGGCUGGACUGAGGGCUUGUAAGCCUGUUGUAAGGAAACCGGCAACAACGUCGCCAAUGGGCGCAAACCCACCAUCGCUGGACCAGACAGGGCUGUCAAAAAGUGCUCUUCACUGAUGAGUCAUGGUUUUGUUUCACAAGGGGUGAUGGUCGGAUUCACGUUUAUCGUCGAAGGAAUGAGCGUUACAUCGAGGCCUGUACUCUGGAGAGGGAUCGAUUUGGAGGUGGAGGGUCUGUCAUGGUCUUGGGCGGUGUGUCACUGCAUCAUCGGACUGAGCUUGUUAUUCCAGGCAGUGUCAACGUUGUGCAUUACAGGGAAGACAACCUCCUCUCUCAUGUGGUACUCUUCCUGCAGGCUUAUCCUGACAUGACCCUCCAGCAUGACAAUGCCACCAUACUGCUCGUUCUGUGCGAGAUUUCUUGCAAGACAGGAAUGUCCGUGUUCUGCCAUGGCCAGCGAAGAGCUCGUUUCUCAAUCCCAUUGAGCACGUCUGGGACCUGUUGGAUCGGCGGGUGAGGGCUAGGGCCAUCUCCCCCAGAAAUGUCCUGGAGCUUGCAGGUGCCUUGGUGGAAGAGUGGGGUAACAUCUCACAGCAAGAAUUGGCAAAUCUGGUGCAGUCCAUGAGGAGGAGAUGCACUGCAGUACUUAAUGCAGCUGGUGGGCACACCAGAUACUGACUGUUACUUUUGAUGUUGAACCCACCCCUUUGUUCAGGGACACAUUAUUCCAUUUCUGUUAGCCACAUGUUCAGUUUAUGUCUCAGUUGUUCAAUCUUGUAUGUUCAUACAAUUAUUUACACAUGUUAAGUUUGCUGAAAAUAAAUACAGUUGACAGUGAGAGGACGUUUCUUUUUUUGCUGAGUUUGUGAACCCUUGGUUUUAAUAAAUGGUCGACCCUACUUUGGCAGCAAUAACCUCAACGUUUUCUGUAGUUGCAGAUCAGACCUGCUCAACGGUCAGGAGGAAUUUUAUACCAUUCCUCUUUGCAAAACUGUUUCAGUUUAGCAAAAUUCUUGGGAUGUCUGGUGUGAACCUCUCUCUUGAGGCCCUGCCACAGCAUCUCAAUCGGGUUGAGGUCAGUACUCUCACUGGGCCACUCCAGAAGGCAUAUUCUCUUCUGUUGCAGCCAUUCUGUUGUUGAUUUACUUCGGUGUUUUGGGUCGUUGUCCUGUUGCAUCACCCAACUUCUCUUGAGCUUCAAUUCGCGAACAACCUUAAAUUCUCCAACAAAAUGUCUUGAUAAACUUGGCAAUACAUUUUUCCAUCGAUGAUAGCUAGCUGUCCAGACCCCGAGGCAGCAAAGCAGCUCCAAACCAUGAUAUGAUGCUCCCUUCACCAUACUUUACAGUUGGGAUGAGGUUUUGAUAUUGGUGUGCUGUGCUUUUUGUUUUCUCCACACAGUGUUGUGUGCUCCUUUCAAACAACAACAUUUUAGUUUCAUCUCUCCACAGAAUAUUUUGCCAGUAGCGCUGUGGAACAUCCAGAUGCUCUUUUGCAAACUUCAAACGUGCAGCAAUGUUUUUAUUUGGACAGUCGGUGGCUUCUUCCGUGGUGUCCUCCCAUGAACACCAUUCUUGUUUAGUGUUUUAUGUAUCGUAGACUCGUCAAUAGAGAUAUUAGGUAUUAGAUAUUAGAUAUUAGAAAUCCAGAGAUUUCUUUAAGUCUUCAGCUAACACUCUAAGAUUCUGCUUAACCUCAUUGAGCAUUCUGCGCUGUGCUCUUGCAGUCAGGACGGACAGCUGAUCGUCCUCGCAGUGGCAGACCUCGUGUAACAACACCUGCACAGGAUUGGUACAUCUUUGCAGGACGGCCACUCCUAGGGAGAGUAGCAACAGUAGCAACUUGCAGUCAUCUUUGCAGGACGGCCACUCCUAGGGAGAGUAGCAACAGUAGCAACUUGCAGUCAUCUUUGCAGGACGGCCACUCCUAGGGAGAGUAGCAACAGUGCUGAACUUUCUCAAUUUAUCUACAGUUUGUGUGACCGUGGAGUGAUGAACAUCAAGGCUUUUAGAGAUACUUUUGUAACCCUUUCCAGCUUUAUGCAAGUCAACAAUUCUUCAUCUUGGGUCUUCUGAGAUCUCUUUUGUUUGAGGCAUGGUUCACAUCAGACAAUGCUUCUUGUGAAUAGCAAACUCAAAUUUUGUGAGUGUUUUUUAGGGCAGGCAGCUCUGACCAACAUCUCCAAUCUCGUCUCAAUGAUUGUACUCCAGGUUAGCUGACUCCAAUUAGCUUUUGGAGAAGUCAUUAGCCUCGGGGUUCACAUACUUUUCUCAACUUACACUGUGAAUGUUUAAAUGAUGUAUUCAGUGUAGACAAGAAAAAGACAAUCAUUUGUGUGUUAUUAUUUUAAGCAGAAUGUGUUAAUCUGUUGUUGUGACUUAGAUGAAGAUUAAAUCUAAUUUUAUGACCAAUGGAUAUGUGUUUUGAUUUCCAACAUACUGUAAAUCUUAAUCAAUUGUGUUGAUGUACCUUUCUGUGUUCAUAUAUACAGAUUACUGUUAGGGACUUGCUGCUCAUGAUUGGACACAUAACAAGCUCAGUAUUGGAGGAGGUUAAUAGCAUCCUGAUCCCUGCCUUGGUUGACCUUAUAAGGCUGAGAGCUUCAGAAAGUGCUGCAGAGAGUAUGCUCCCCAUCAGCAAAGACACCAACGAAGAUUCAACCCAGGGCUCUGUCAGCUGUACCUCCUUACUCUCCAAAGUCAAUGUGAUCUGUCUCACUCAGAGUCCUGACAGUAGGUCCUCCCCAAUCUCCAUUGAUGAACCAGUCACUGCUGUCCAGACUUGUUGUAGCAGCAGUUCUCUGUCCAGUGAGGAACGAGCACACUCUUCCUCCAGUCAGAUCUCUACUAAGAACCUCCUGGCUACUAGGCCACGUUCUACCAGGCCCCAAUCUGCCAAACCGCCACCUUCUAAACCAUCACCUGCUAAACCACAAUCUGCUAAACCAUCACCUGCUAAACCACCACCUGCUAAACCACAAUCUGAUAAACCGUCACCUUCUAAACCAUCACCUGUUAAACCACCACCUGCUAAACUACCAUCUGAUAAACCACCACCUGCUAAACCGUCACCUGCUAAACCACC